GCAACGAUAGCUUAGCUUAAAGCGUUGGUCUUGUAAGCCAAAGACGAAUUUAGAUACUCUCGUUGCU
rnacentral:tRNA from 1 species